UCCCCGCACUCUGGAGAGCGGCAGUAGCCGGUUGCGCAUGCAGCGCCGGCAGGCUGCCCACCGAAGGGGCGCGCGUUUGCCGGGUCAUUCCCGCAGCGCAAUCUCUCAGGUAUCGAGGACAGAGGGGCAUGU
rnacentral:ncRNA from 2 species